GUUUUUGUGGUGUAAACGGUAGCACACUCGACUCCUAUUCGGGAGGUUCAGGUUUCGAGUCCCGUCGAGGGCA
rnacentral:tRNA from 1 species